CAUUGGAAAAGAUACCAUCAUUUUUCUCAAGACUUUUUACGGUAUAUUGACAAAUUUCUGAUUUGAACAAGCUCUUCACUUCUCUCGAAACAGAUAUGGGAUUUCUAGAGAAAAACUGCUGUGAUGUGAGUCAUAACAAGUCCCUGUUAGUGUUAUAUAUUUUCUGUUAACCGAAACUUGUACUUAACCCUCUAAGGGCCAUAUGUAGUAAAAUGCAUCAUAAUGUAAAUACUCUAUGCGGUCUGCGUUAAAGAACUCGAGAUUAACAAACUUUUAGGCGGACACACACAAUGUGUAUAGCAUCGUGUUGUGACUCUGUUGGGGCCA